CGUUGGAAAAAUUCAGAAAAGAGCAACUUGGAGCAGUAAAGGAAGAAAAAAAGAAGUUUGACAAAGAGACAGAGAAGAAUUAUAGCCUAAUUGAUAAACAUUUGAAUCUAUCAGCCAAAAAGAAAGAUUCACAUUUACAAGAGGCAGAUCUCCAAUUGGAGCAAAACCGGCAGCACUUUUAUGAACUGUCUCUUGAAUAUGUCUGUAAGCUUCAGGAAAUACAAGAAAGGAAGAAGUUCGAGUUCGUGGAG